rnacentral:rRNA from 1 species
CCGUAGCGUACCGAAAUGGGCGGGUACAAAGGGUCGACGAACCCGCGAGGGGAGCCAAUCCCAAAAAGCCGGUCUCAGUUCGGAUUGGAGUCUGCAACUCGACUCCAUGAAGUCGGAAUCGCUAGUAAUCGCGUAUCAGCCAUGACGCGGUCGAAUACGUUCCCGGGCCUU